UACGGGGGGUGCGAGCGUUGUCCGGAAUCACUGGGCGUAAAGGGCUCGUAGGCGGCCAACUAAGUCAGACGUGAAAUCCCUCGGCUUAACCGGGGAACUGCGUCUGAUACUGGAUGGCUUGAGGUUGGGAGAGGGAUGCGGAAUUCCCGGUGUAGAGGUGAAAUUCGUAGAUAUCGGGAGGAACACCUGUGGCGAAGGCGGCCAUCUGGACGUCAACUGACGCUGAGACGCGAAAGCAUGGGGAGCAAACAGG
rnacentral:rRNA from 1 species